UCUUGCAGAGGAUCCUGAAUAAUCCACCUUACAUUUAUCACAUGAGAAGGCUAAGGCCCAAAGAGAUACAACUGCUGGAUUUACUGGGCAUUCAAAUGACUGUACAAUAGUAAACAACAGCAAUACAACCAUGACUCUUCCAUUCACUCAACAAUCAUCAGUUGGCUUGCUUACUAUGUGUGAAUGCAUAAAUAAUGGAAGAAAAGACUAAGACAGGAAAUUACCACACAGAACAAUUUGAAGAAAGCAUCAAUUAUGGUUCUAUUAUGGGUUGAAUUGUGUCCCACAAAAAGGUAUGUUGAACUCCUAAUCCCCCAUACCUCAGAUUGUGACCUUAUUUGAAAAUAGGUUUGUUGCAGAUGUAACUAGUUAAGAUGAGGUCAUGCUGGAAUAGGUGGCCCUUAAAAGAAGUAUGACUGGUGUACUUAUGAGAAAAGGAGAGGAGACACAGAUGCAUAAGAAAAAUGCUAUGUAACAACAGAGGUGGAAAUUUGAGUGGUGCACCUACAAGCCAAAGAAUGCCGAGGAUUGCCAGACAUCUCCAGAAGCUAGGAAAGAGGCAUGGAACAGAUCUUCCCUCAGAGGAAACCAUUCCUGCUGACACCAUUUCAGACUUCUAGCCUCCAGAACUGUGAAAGAAUAUGUUUUUGUUGUGUUAAGCCACCCAGUUUGUGGUGCUGUGUUAUAGCAGCCCUAGGAAACUGAUGUAGUUUCUUUCUCAAAACUUCAUAUGUUUCAAGAUUUAUUCACAUAAAGGGCUAAACUUUCCUUCUACGUUAACUCAUAUUUCAAAACUCAAGUCAGUGAAAACCUUUAAUGAAACUAAAAAUCAUGAAUAAAUGAGAUGAGUUUUUAUUAGGAUGAUUCUCAGGAAAGUACAUGUAAUAACAGUCAACACACAUCCUAGGGCACACUAUCCAAAUAGAAAUGAAAAAAGAGAUAAAGUGGGAAUAAAAAUGCCUGAAAAUAUUCUAUAUUUUAUUUUUAAUAGUA
rnacentral:lncRNA from 10 species